rnacentral:lncRNA from 1 species
CUUUGUGGGUGUUUUAGGAGCACAGACUUUCAUUUGUAGGUUCUGUCCUGCCCUGACAUUUGUCUCCCUGUCCCAGACAGAGGAAACCUGGGCCUGUGUCACACAACAGGACCCCAAUUCCUGAAGCAUUUCCCCGGAUGAUUUUGAUUUCACCUACCUUAGAAGUGGAGAUGCAACGGGCCUGGUGGUGAGGAGCAAAGAAGGUCCCACCAUGAACCAAAGCUUAAAGGGCCUGGAUUCUAUCAGUGCCAACGGUCAUGCACUCCUGAGGCCAGGAAGAUUCUUGGUCAUAUCGUCACCAUGCGUUUCUGAGGUUUCCAAGAGUCUGCAUCAGGGCCAAAGUACCCUCAAGUCCUAAAGUUCCCCUUGGCUUUAAGGGCUUCAAGCAAGAAAAACAAAUGCAGAAGAUUUUCAGUGGCCAGUGGACCCUGCUCUGUUCAUAUCCGACUGUUCUGAGGAGUGCCUUUGUCACAGCCUCCCUGGGAAUUGGAGCAGAAGGCAGCUACUAGCAGUUCCACUUUGCAGACCAGGAGACUGAGGGAUCAAUGCAAAGAGACUCCUUCAGGGAUGGACCAUGAGUGGAGAGCUGGUAAGAAGACUGAAUUCCAAAGGGUAAAAAGAGUUGGCUUGAAUCCAAAUAUUCUGGGGACAGAGGCAAGUGGAGGCACCAAGACUGAAAGGCCAGUACUCUUU